rnacentral:rRNA from 1 species
CUGGCGGUUCUAUAAUGCAAGUCGAGCGAAUGGAUUAAGAGCUUGCUCUUAUGAAGUUAGCGGCGGACGGGAGAACAGUGGGUAACCUGCCCAUAAGACUGGGAUAACUCCGGAAACCAGGGCUAAUACCGGAUAACAUUUUGAACCGCAUGGUUCGAAAUUGAAAGGCGGCUUGAGAUGUCACUUAUGGAUGGACCCGCGUCGCAUUAGCUAGUUGGUGAGGUAACGGCUCACCAAGGCAACGAUGCGUAGCCGACCUGAGAGGGUGAUCGGCCACACUGGGACUGAGACACGGCCCAGACUCCUACGGGAGGCAGCAGUAGGGAAUCUUCCGCAAUGGACGAAAGUCUGACGGAGCAACGCCGCGUGAGUGAUGAAGGCUUUCGGGUCGUAAAACUCUGUUGUUAGGGAAGAACAAGUGCUAGUUGAAUAAGCUGGCACCUUGACGGUACCUAACCAGAAAGCCACGGCUAACUACGUGCCAGCAGCCGCGGUAAUACGUAGGUGGCAAGCGUUAUCCGGAAUUAUUGGGCGUAAAGCGCGCGCAGGUGGUUUCUUAAGUCUGAUGUGAAAGCCCACGGCUCAACCGUGGAGGGUCAUUGGAAACUGGGAGACUUGAGUGCAGAAGAGGAAAGUGGAAUUCCAUGUGUAGCGGUGAAAUGCGUAGAGAUAUGGAGGAACACCAGUGGCGAAGGCGACUUUCUGGUCUGUAACUGACACUGAGGCGCGAAA